AACUUUUGGCACAAUCUGGUUGUAGGG
rnacentral:piRNA from 1 species